rnacentral:lncRNA from 10 species
GAGGACAAUCAGAGGCGAUGUGGAAACUUCUGUCUUGUAAUCACAGGAGUGAAGGUGUCGGGCAGGCUGAGUUAACAGCUGAACAGAAACCUACCUACCCAACGUGCUAACUUCUAUACAGCAUGGUCGUGCAUCCAAAUCAAAUGGAAAGCGGUAUGGGAGAUCUGGAAAGGCCUCCUGUGGGUGGCAUCUGACUACCUAAAUUCCCAUCCCAGUUUCACUUACUGACUUUGACACUUGGAACAAGCAGCCUCUCAGUGCCUGUUUUCCCACUGGCAGGUCAGGAUCUGGCUUAGCGGCGCCGCGAGCUCCAGUGCGCGCACCCGUGGCCGCCUCCCAGCCCUCUUUGCCGGACGAGCUCUGGGCCGCCACAAGACUAAGGAAUGGCCACCCCGCCCAAGAGAAGCUGCCCGUCUUUCUCAGCCAGC